rnacentral:tmRNA from 1 species
GGGGCUGUCCGGUAUCGACGGCAUGAGAGGUUGGAUGUAAGCAUGUCGGGAGUUGUUCGUAUUUCCCGUAAAUAAAACGUUCAUACUUAUAAACGGCGAAGAAAACUACGCCCUAGCUGCUUAAUUAAAUUAGGUAACUAAGUGUUCUGUUAGCCCCACGAUCUGCCGGGUUAACGACUGGACAUCAUCAUGCAGAUCUGGCUCCUGCAGCGUUGUGAUGCAAGAGUAAGAUAAAACAAAUAAGGAGGUUUCUACAGGUCCGGCUUGCACCUUGGAACAUCCCGACAAUCUAAGCAAGACUAAGCAUGUAGAAGGCAUCACAGAUUCCUUGUCCGGACGUGGGUUCGAUUCCCACCAGCUCCACAA